rnacentral:lncRNA from 1 species
AAAAUUAGCUGGGCGUGGUGGCGCAUGUCUGUAAUCCCAAUUAUUCAGGAGGCUGAGGCAGGAGAAUCGCUUGAACCCGGGAGGCAGAGAUUGCAGUGAGCUGAGAUUGUGCCACUGCACUCCAGCCUGGGCGGCAAGAGCGAGACUCCGUCUCAAAAAAAAAAAAAAGAAGUAAUGAUGUGCCCAGCUGAAGAGCAUCCAAAUGCACCGGAGCUCCCAAUGCCCUCCUAGCACCAGCCAGCGGGCCCCCACGGUGAGUCCCAUCUCAGAGCUCCACAUGCGUCCUUUCAACCACGCACGUCUUCAUCGUCCUGAUGAAUGGCAAAGGAAAGCAAUCCUCCCAAUGAGAAAGAGGAUCCCUUCAGUGUUGGGCCACAAAGCUGGCUCUGACACUCAGUCCUUUGUCACAGUCCCUGAGUCGAGUCCCCUUCCUAGAGAGGCUCUAUGUGGUCACUGAAGUGGAAUGACAGUCAGAGCACACACCUGUGAUCAAAGGAGGGCGGCUGUGCACAGCCAGUGCCGUGGUGUGUGGGGGCUCCGUCUCUGUCUCAGCCUGGGCCCUCGGUGAUGUGGGGCCCUUUGCAACCCCUAAGGCUCCUUGCAGAACAAAGGAGCUACUGAGGCAGCUGGCUGUGCCUGGCACCUCCCUGCCCCCACCCUACCUCCCAUGUGUUUUUUUUUUUUUUAAUUUAAGCAGCUUCAGACUGUCAUUCCAUGUCUGUUGGGUUGAGGAAGGAAAAUUGAAAAUCUCUUUCAAGGAUCUUUAAGAUUAAAAGGCAACUCGGGCUAAAACAGAUGGUCAUCAGUGCUUGAAGCUGCAAUGAAAGAUGAGGAACACAUAUUUGUCAAGAACUUUCUAUACAUCAGAUUAUUUACUCCUAAGGAAGCAGCUGGAGUUUUGCUGUGGACCCUGAGUGUGCCUGAUGGCUAAGAAAGUCAAGCCUGCAGAAGGAGUUCCCAGAAGUAUUUGAUCAGUUUUUUGUUUCCUGUUCAAAUAAUAAGACUAGAUUAACACACAUUCCCCAGGGUGGUGAGGAUUCUUGACCUGCUGCCUUCGUCUGUCUACUUUAUCCCCAAGCUCUGUUUGUGGGCUCAGGGGCUUGGUCCCAGACCGUGGGAAGCCAUGCUGACCAUCAAUUGUUCAUCAUAGAUUUCCCCUGGAGCCCUCCCUGUCUCUCCAGCUCUUCCCAAGGUCUGCUUCUUCUAGGAUCCGGUCCAGUGUGGGCUACCAAUAUCCUCUGGCAUCCAGAACUCAGCCCCGUGAUGAUGCUCUUCCCAAGAAUGUGACCUGAGCCACAACAUUUUACUGACAUGUCCCCUAGAGUCCUCUCUCUCAUUCCAAGAAGAGCUCUGUGGCUUCCCUCCAGUGCUGGGACUGUCUCUAAGAUGAAGGUGGGCAAACUCAUUCACUCAUUUAACAAGCUUUUAGUGAACGCAUGGUAUGUACUGUUCCUAGGCUCAGCUCUUGAAGAGUCUGUGGUAGAUGGAGCUUCACAUUUCAGGUUUCCAAUGGCUCUGAGAGGCUGAACUAUAGGAAUUUCAGAGGGCCAUCUCCUUUAAACAAGAGCCAUUCUGUAACACACCAUUGAGUUCAUUGACCCAUAUUAAGCCAUACCAUAUACAAUAGAGUCUCUGUUCACUGGUCUUUACUUAGCCUAUGUUGUAGAGUAUAUCUUUGCUCCAGAUAGUCACUACCUCCUUUGGGAGAGGAUUGCAUGACCUCUCCCUUUGAGAUCAAGCUUGUCCAAGAGUUGCAGUGCCCCACCACACACCCCACCACCCCGUCCAGCCCCAGGAGAUUAUAUUGUCCCCUCCCUGAAGAAAGACUCAACCAUGUGACUUGCUCUGGCUAGUACAAGGUGAAGUUAAGGCAUGUGCCAGGUCCACAUGGAAGUGGUAAGGGCCAUUGCAUGGUUCCACAUCCCUUUUCCUGUACCAUGAUACUGGCAUGCCCCAGAUAGGGACAGAUCCUUUCACCUGGAUUCUGAAACAACGAGCGGGAGACAUGGAGCUCCAGCCAAAUGGGAAGGGUGCCUGAUGUGGAGGAGAAGCAAAUCUUUGUUCUUGUAAGCCAAUGAAGCUUUGGAGCUAUAUGUCACUGCAGCAUAAACUGAUGAAAGCCGACAGUGCGACAGAAAUGCAUGUGUUGUGUUUACGAGCAACACUACUUGCAUGGAAGACAGUCACGAAUGCUCACAAGCUGAACAUCAUCAGCUCUGCAGCAGCUCUCUGGGGUGCACACAUUCUUCUGUGUCCCCCAGGGGAGAGAUGUAUGCUUGCCACAAAUCGGACAUAUUUUUUCCCAACCUGUUUAUUCCAGUUGCACAUGUCACUGCAAUUACAUAAUCUAAUUAAAUAGUGUGAAACCAAUGAAGUAUGAGUACAAAAAGAAGGAUAUUUAUUGUUUCUCUUAAAACUAAGUCCAGGCCAGUCGUGGUGGCUCAUGCCUGUAAUCCUACCACUUUGGGAGGUCAAAGCGGGUGGAUCACCUGAGGGCAGGAGUUCAAGACCAGCCUGGUCAACAUGGUGAAACCUGGUCUCUACUGAGAAUAUAAAAUUAGCCAGGCAUGGUGGCACACGCCUGUAAUCCCAGCUACUUUGGCGGCUGAGGCAGGAGAAUCAUUUGAACCUGGUAGGUAGAGGUCGCAGUGAGCCGAGAUCACACCCCUGUACUCCAGCCUGGGCAACAAGAGUGAAACUCCAUUAAAUAAAUAAAUAAAUAAAUAAAUAAAUAAAUAAAUAAAACCCAAACAAACAAACAAAACAAACAAACGUAAGUUGAAUGCUUUGAAAAGACUGCAAACAGGCAAGUCUUUCAGCAUAUUGCUGUUGAAUUAAGUGUAGGUGAGACAACCGUAUCAUAAAACUCCAGAAGUUUUGGAAUUUUGAUUAUUUCUCAAAUGGCUUUAUUUUCACACUUCACUUUAAAGAAAUCAAAAUGGAAAUCCCAAAUGAUUCAUAGGAGCGGU